rnacentral:rRNA from 1 species
UACGGAGGGUGCAAGCGUUUAUCCGGAUUUACUGGGUUUAAAGGGUGCGUAGGUGGGUUGGUAAGUCAGUGGUGAAAUACUUUCGCUUAACGAAGGAACUGCCAUUGAUACUACCAGUCUUGAAUACAGUGGAGGUAGGCGGAAUGCGUCAUGUAGCGGUGAAAUGCUUAGAUAUGACGCAGAACACCAAUUGCGAAGGCAGCUCGCUGGGACGUUACUGACGCUGAGACGCGAAAGCGUGGGGAGCAAACAGG